UUCCAGCUGACGAGUCCCAAAUAGGACAGAACACACGUCCUGGAU
rnacentral:hammerhead_ribozyme from 1 species